AUACGAAGGGUGCAAGCGUUGUUCGGAUUUACUGGGCGUAAAGCGUCCGUAGGUGGUUUGUUAAGUCAGGGGUGAAAUCCCGGGGCCUAACCCCGGAACUGCCUUUGAUACUGGCAGGCUGGAGCGCGAUAGAGGAAGAUGGAAUAUCUGGUGUAGGGGUGAAAUCCGUAGAUAUCAGAUAGAACACCAAUGGCGGAGGCAGUCUUCUGGAUCGUUGCUGACACUGAGGGACGAAAGCGUGGGUAGCAAACAGAAUUAGAUACUCUGGUAGUCCACGCCCUAAACGAUGCAUGCUUGUUGUUGGUUUCCUUCGGGGAAUCAGUGACGAAGCUAACGCGUUAAGCAUGCCGCCUGGGGACUACGAUCGCAAGAUUAAAACUUAAAGGAAUUGACGGGG
rnacentral:rRNA from 1 species